UACGUAGGGCGCAAGCGUUAUCCGGAAUUAUUGGGCGUAAAGAGCUCGUAGGCGGUUUGUCGCGUCUGCCGUGAAAGUCCGGGGCUCAACUCCGGUUCUGCAGUGGGUACGGGCAGACUAGAGUGCAGUAGGGGAGACUGGAAUUCCUGGUGUAGCGGUGAAAUGCGCAGAUAUCAGGAGGAACACCGAUGGCGAAGGCAGGUCUCUGGGCUGUAACUGACGCUGAGGAGCGAAAACGUGGGGAGCGAACCGG
rnacentral:rRNA from 1 species